CUGCAGUGCAGAGUAGACCUGUUGAUCACGAAGCUUCGGAAAAUGGCUGUUCUAAAGUACAAGAUCCAGCUACACAGCCACCUGACCACCGGCAUGCGUCAUGAGACCAUUUGGGAGCUGGCACAG